rnacentral:rRNA from 1 species
AUGAAAUUUGAUAAAUGUGCUUCUCUUGCACAUGAUAUUGUCUUUGUUGCAACAAGAAGGAUCGUUCCGAGAUCAUCAAAAAAGCUUUACGAGGACAAUGAGUAUGCACUCUACACUGUAACAUUAUUUGCCAAGGUUGUUGACAACUUUAAGGUCCAUUCUCAUGAGAAAGGUUUCCAGAUCCGUGACUUUGAGUAUAGUCCUAAAGCACAGGAGAGUCGGAAGCAAGAGCUAGAAAAACUGCUGCAAGACCAGGAAGUUAUGAGGACCUCUCUAUUGCAAUGGUGCUAUGAAAGCUACAGUGAGUGGUAG